rnacentral:rRNA from 1 species
AGCGAACGCUGGCGGCAGGCUUAACACAUGCAAGUCGAGCGGGCACUUCGGUGUCAGCGGCAGACGGGUGAGUAACACGUGGGAACGUGCCCUUCGGUUCGGAAUAACUCAGGGAAACUUGAGCUAAUACCGGAUACGCCCUUUGGGGGAAAGGUUUACUGCCGAAGGAUCGGCCCGCGUCUGAUUAGCUAGUUGGUGGGGUAAUGGCCUACCAAGGCGACGAUCAGUAGCUGGUCNGAGAGGAUGAUCAGCCACACUGGGACUGAGACACGGCCCAGACUCCUACGGGAGGCAGCAGUGGGGAAUAUUGGACAAUGGGCGCAAGCCUGAUCCAGCCAUGCCGCGUGAGUGAUGAAGGCCUUAGGGUUGUAAAGCUCUUUCGACGGGGACGAUAAUGACGGUACCCGGUAGAAGAAGCCCCGGCUAACUUCGUGCCAGCAGCCGCCGCAGUAAC